rnacentral:lncRNA from 1 species
CGAAUAGGUAACGAAUAGGGAAUAGGUAACGAAUAGGUAACGAAUAGGGAAUAGGAAAUUAGUAACGAAUAGGUAACGAAUAGGGAAUAGGGAAUAAGUAACGAAUAGGUAACGAAUAGGGAAUAGGGAAUAGGUAACGAAUAGGGAAUAGGUAACGAAUAGGUAACGAAUAGGGAAUAGGGAAUAGAUAACGAAUAUAUAUAGGUAACGAAUAGGGAA